AUAUUGUUAUUGUUAGCUUGUUAGCUAGCGGAGGGGCUCGCGAGAUGGCGACAUGACAGAGUAAUAACGACGUCUUAUUACAUGUCUGUCAUAAGCCUAUUACCAGCCUUCAUCCGAUGUUGGUGAUGGAUAACGGAAGAAGGUCUGAUGCCGCAGCCACAUCCAAGAAGCAUUUAGGCACUCCACAGCCGCAGAUUCUAAAAAACGAAGAUCGUUAUGAAGUAGCCAUGCCGCUGGAGGAGAGCAACUUUGAGCAGCAAGCAGGAUUUUUCAACCAAAGUGGCCAAAAUUUUGAAGGGGUUGUAACGCCACAGCAUCAAUGCUUAUCGUUAGCUUGUCUAUAGCAUUUGCAUCGUGUGUUAGAAUUAAGCUUCCUAAGGCAAAGUCAUGAGGAUGAUUUAAAUA